GACGAACGCUGGCGGCGUGCUUAACACAUGCAAGUCGUACGGUAAGGCCCUUUCGGGGGUACACGAGUGGCGAACGGGUGAGUAACACGUGAGUAACCUGCCCACAACUUUGGGAUAACGCUAGGAAACUGGUGCUAAUACUGGAUAUGUGCUCCUGCUGCAUGGUGGGGGUUGGAAAGCUCCGGCGGUUGUGGAUGGACUCGCGGCCUAUCAGCUUGUUGGUGGGGUAGUGGCCUACCAAGGCGGCGACGGGUAGCCGGCCUGAGAGGGUGACCGGCCACAUUGGGACUGAGAUACGGCCCAGACUCCUACGGGAGGCAGCAGGGGGGAAUAUUGCACAAGGGGCGCAAGCCUGAUGCAGCAACGCCGCGGGCGGGAUGACGGCCUUCGGGUUGGAAACCGCUUUCAGCAGGGACGAAGCUUUUUGUGACGGUACCUGCAGAAGAAGCACCGGCUAACUACGUG
rnacentral:rRNA from 1 species